GUGAGGAAUAUUGGUCAAUGGACGAGAGUCUGAACCAGCCAAGUAGCGUGAAGGAUGACUGCCCUAUGGGUUGUAAACUUCUUUUAUAAGGGAAUAAAGUGAGGGACGUGUCCCUUUUUGUAUGUACCUUAUGAAUAAGGAUCGGCUAACUCCGUGCCAGCAGCCGCGGUAAUACGGAGGAUCCAAGCGUUAUCCGGAUUUAUUGGGUUUAAAGGGAGCGUAGGUUGACAUAUAAGUCAGCUGUGAAAGUUUACGGCUCAACCGUGAAAUUGCAGUGUAUACUGUAUGUCUUGAGUGUACAAGAGGUGGGCGGAAUUCGUGGUGUAGCGGUGAAAUGCUUAGAUAUCACGAAGAACUCCAAUUGCGAAGGCAGCUCACUGGGGUACAACUGACACUGAGGCUCGAAAGUGUGGGUAUCAAACAGGAUUAGAAACCCGGGUAGUCC
rnacentral:rRNA from 1 species